AUACGGAGGAUCCGAGCGUUAUCCGGAUUUACUGGGUUUAAAGGGUGCGUAGGCGGGCGCCUAAGUCAGCGGUGAAAUGCAGCGGCUCAACCGUUGAACUGCCGUUGAAACUGGGCGCCUUGGAUGCGGUCGAGGCCGGCGGAAUGCGUGGUGUAGCGGUGAAGUGCUUAGAUAUAACACAGAACACCAAUUGCGAAGGCAGCUUACUGGGAUACAACUGACGCUGAGGCACGAAAGCGUGGGGAUC
rnacentral:rRNA from 1 species